CACCUGGUUGAUCCUGCCAGUAGUCAUAUGCUUGUCUCAAAGAUUAAGCCAUGCAUGUCUAAGUAUAAGCUUUAAACGGCGAAACUGCGAAUGGCUCAUUAAAACAGUUAUAGUUUAUUUGGUGAUCGAUUACUAUUUGGAUAACCGUAGUAAUUCUAGAGCUAAUACAUGCGUCAAGGCCCGACUUCGGAAGGGCUGCGUUUAUUAGAUACAGAACCAACCUAGGCUCCGCCUAGUCCUUGUUGGUGAUUCAUAAUAACCCGGCGAAUCGCACGGCUUGUCCGGCGAUGGACCAUUCAAGUUUCUGACCUAUCAGCUAUGGACGGUAGGGUAUUGGCCUACCGUGGCGUUGACGGGUAACGGGGAAUUAGGGUUCGAUUCCGGAGAGGGAGCCUGAGAAACGGCUACCACAUCUAAGGAAGGCAGCAGGCGCGCAAAUUACCCAAUCCUGAUACAGGGAGGUAGUGACAAGAAAUAACAAUACAGGGCAAUUCUGUCUUGUAAUUGGAAUGAGUAGAUUUUAAAUCUCUUUACGAGUAUCAAUUGGAGGGCAAGUCUGGUGCCAGCAGCCGCGGUAAUUCCAGCUCCAAUAGCGUAUAUUAAAGUUGUUGCGGUUAAAAAGCUCGUAGUUGGAUUUCUGCCUUGGGCGACCGAUCCACCUUUCCUACGGGAUUGGUUGGUAUCAGGUUUGACCUUGGCUUUUUCUUGGGAUUCGUGCUCACGUACUUAACUGUG
rnacentral:ncRNA from 1 species